UCAGAGUCAGAUCCUGGUGUGGGCUCUCACGUGCUGCUGCUGAAUCCCAGGGAAGGAGGGAGGAAGGGCAGUUGACACCCAAAAUAAGGGUGGGGAACUGUCAGCAGAGGAGGUCUGUGUCAUGUUUUUCAGCGCUGGGGUUGGGGGGAGCCCAGGAGAGCAGGAAGAUCCAGAGAUCCCUCGCCCCAGCUCGGCCAUGUGUGUCUGGGACAGAGCCUGAGGUGGCCUGAGCUUCCUGUGGCUCCAGAGUAACAUUAUAGAGAAGCUGAAUUCUCCUGUUUUUCUGAAAAGGGCAUGGGAGUUAGCUGAGAAGCAGACCUGGUGGGCCUGAGAGUCUCAAUCGUCAGGUAAGGACAGUCAGUGGGAAGUGGACGGGCCGCACAACCAAGGUUCUCAUGAGGACAACCAUGUCUUCGGGGGUGCCCUUGUGCACAGACAGCUCCAUAGUCCUGCCUCCAAUGUCCCAACACUGCAUUGUCUCCCUGCACUUAGCAGCCCUGCAGGGUGAGACUUGGGGAGGAUCCUGAAAUGAUUGUAUUUAACAAGACAUGCUGUCCUUGUUUACCUGGAACCUAGCAAUGUUGUUUUCUGCCACAACUUGAAUAGAUACUUGAAGCAGAGAUGAUGUUGAGUUAAAAAAAAUAUAUACAUAAAAAUAUGGGUUCUUUUCAACCUGAAUAGAUGGCCUAAAAAUUCAAA
rnacentral:lncRNA from 10 species